GGGUUGUGAGGUUAAGCGACUAAGCGUACACGGUGGAUGCCCUGGCAGUCAGAGGCGAUGAAGGACGUGCUAAUCUGCGAAAAGCGCCGGCGAGGUGAUAUGAACCUUUGACCCGGCGAUGUCCGAAUGGGGAAACCCAGUGUGAUUCGUCACACUAUCGUUAACUGAAUACAUAGGUUAACGAGGCGAACCGGGGGAACUGAAACAUCUAAGUACCCCGAGGAAAAGAAAUCAACCGAGAUUCCCCCAGUAGCGGCGAGCGAACGGGGAGCAGCCCGGAGUCUGAAUCAGCUUGUGUGUUAGUGGAACGGUCUGGAAAGUCCGACGGUACAGGGUGAUAGUCCCGUACACGAAAAUGCACAGGUUGUGAACUCGAAGAGUAGGGCGGGACACGUGGUAUCCUGUCUGAAUAUGGGGGGACCAUCCUCCAAGGCUAAAUACUCCUGACUGACCGAUAGUGAACCAGUACCGUGAGGGAAAGGCGAAAAGAACCCCGGCGAGGGGAGUGAAAAAGAACCUGAAACCGUGUACGUACAAGCAGUGGGAGCCUACUUGUUAGGUGACUGCGUACCUUUUGUAUAAUGGGUCAGCGACUUAUAUUCUGUAGCAAGGUUAACCGAAUAGGGGAGCCGAAGGGAAACCGAGUCUUAACUGGGCGUUAAGUUGCAGGGUAUAGACCCGAAACCCGGUGAUCUAGCCAUGGGCAGGUUGAAGGUUGGGUAACACUAACUGGAGGACCGAACCGACUAAUGUUGAAAAAUUAGCGGAUGACCUGUGGCUGGGGGUGAAAGGCCAAUCAAACCGGGAGAUAGCUGGUUCUCCCCGAAAGCUAUUUAGGUAGCGCCUCGUGAACUCAUCUUCGGGGGUAGAGCACUGUUUCGGCUAGGGGGCCAUCCCGGCUUACCAACCCGAUGCAAACUACGAAUACCGAAGAAUGUUAUCACGGGAGACACACGGCGGGUGCUAACGUCCGUCGUGAAGAGGGAAACAACCCAGACCGCCAGCUAAGGUCCCAAAGUCAUGGUUAAGUGGGAAACGAUGUGGGAAGGCACAGACAGCCAGGAUGUUGGCUUAGAAGCAGCCAUCAUUUAAAGAAAGCGUAAUAGCUCACUGGUCGAGUCGGCCUGCGCGGAAGAUGUAACGGGGCUAAACCAUGCACCGAAGCUGCGGCAGCGACGCUUAUGCGUUGUUGGGUAGGGGAGCGUUCUGUAAGCCGUUGAAGGUGGCCUGUGAGGGUUGCUGGAGGUAUCAGAAGUGCGAAUGCUGACAUAAGUAACGAUAAAGCGGGUGAAAAGCCCGCUCGCCGGAAGACCAAGGGUUCCUGUCCAACGUUAAUCGGGGCAGGGUGAGUCGACCCCUAAGGCGAGGCCGAAAGGCGUAGUCGAUGGGAAACAGGUUAAUAUUCCUGUACUUGGUGUUACUGCGAAGGGGGGACGGAGAAGGCUAUGUUAGCCGGGCGACGGUUGUCCCGGUUUAAGCAUGUAGGCGGAGGUUCCAGGUAAAUCCGGUACCUUUUUAACGCUGAGGUGUGAUGACGAGGCACUACGGUGCUGAAGUAACAAAUGCCCUGCUUCCAGGAAAAGCCUCUAAGCAUCAGGUAACACGAAAUCGUACCCCAAACCGACACAGGUGGUCAGGUAGAGAAUACCAAGGCGCUUGAGAGAACUCGGGUGAAGGAACUAGGCAAAAUGGUGCCGUAACUUCGGGAGAAGGCACGCUGAUAUGUAGGUGAAGCCCCUGCGGGUGGAGCUGAAAUCAGUCGAAGAUACCAGCUGGCUGCAACUGUUUAUUAAAAACACAGCACUGUGCAAACACGAAAGUGGACGUAUACGGUGUGACGCCUGCCCGGUGCCGGAAGGUUAAUUGAUGGGGUUAGCGGUAACGCGAAGCUCUUGAUCGAAGCCCCGGUAAACGGCGGCCGUAACUAUAACGGUCCUAAGGUAGCGAAAUUCCUUGUCGGGUAAGUUCCGACCUGCACGAAUGGCGUAAUGAUGGCCAGGCUGUCUCCACCCGAGACUCAGUGAAAUUGAACUCGCUGUGAAGAUGCAGUGUACCCGCGGCAAGACGGAAAGACCCCGUGAACCUUUACUAUAGCUUGACACUGAACACUGGUCCUUGAUGUGUAGGAUAGGUGGGAGGCUUUGAAGCGUGGACGCCAGUCUGCGUGGAGCCGACCUUGAAAUACCACCCUUUAAUGGCUGGUGUUCUAACGUAGACCCGUAAUCCGGGUUGCGGACAGUGUCUGGUGGGUAGUUUGACUGGGGCGGUCUCCUCCCAAAGAGUAACGGAGGAGCACGAAGGUUAGCUAAUCCUGGUCGGACAUCAGGAGGUUAGUGCAAUGGCAUAAGCUAGCUUGACUGCGAGAGUGACGGCUCGAGCAGGUGCGAAAGCAGGUCAUAGUGAUCCGGUGGUUCUGAAUGGAAGGGCCAUCGCUCAACGGAUAAAAGGUACUCCGGGGAUAACAGGCUGAUACCGCCCAAGAGUUCAUAUCGACGGCGGUGUUUGGCACCUCGAUGUCGGCUCAUCACAUCCUGGGGCUGAAGUAGGUCCCAAGGGUAUGGCUGUUCGCCAUUUAAAGUGGUACGCGAGCUGGGUUUAGAACGUCGUGAGACAGUUCGGUCCCUAUCUGCCGUGGGCGCUGGAGAAUUGAGGGGGGCUGCUCCUAGUACGAGAGGACCGGAGUGGACGCAUCACUGGUGUUCGGGUUGUCAUGCCAAUGGCACUGCCCGGUAGCUAAAUGCGGAAGAGAUAAGUGCUGAAAGCAUCUAAGCACGAAACUUGCCCCGAGAUGAGUUCUCCCUGAGACUAUAAGUCUCCUGAAGGAACGUUGAAGACGACGACGUUGAUAGGUCGGGUGUGUAAGCGCAGCGAUGCGUUGAGCUAACCGAUACUAAUGAACCGUGAGGCUUAACCUUACAACGCCGAAGCUGUU
rnacentral:rRNA from 1 species